AUUUGGCGGACGGGUGAGUAACGCGUGGGAACGUACCUUUUGGUUCGGAACAACCCAGGGAAACUUGGGCUAAUACCGGAUAAGCCCUUACGGGGAAAGAUUUAUCGCCGAAAGAUCGGCCCGCGUCUGAUUAGCUUGUUGGUGAGGUAACGGCUCACCAAGGUGACGAUCAGUAGCUGGUCUGAGAGGAUGAUCAGCCACACUGGGACUGAGACACGGCCCAGACUCCUACGGGAGGCAGCAGUGGGGAAUUUUGGACAAUGGGGGAAACCCUGAUCCAGCCAUCCCGCGUGUGCGAUGAAGGCCUUCGGGUUGUAAAGCACUUUUGGCAGGAAAGAAACGUCGCGGGUUAAUACCCCGCGAAACUGACGGUACCUGCAGAAUAAGCACCGGCUAACUACGUGCCAGCAGCCGCGGUAAUAAU
rnacentral:rRNA from 1 species